rnacentral:rRNA from 1 species
UACGUAGGGGGCUAGCGUUGUCCGGAAUCAUUGGGCGUAAAGAGCGUGUAGGCGGUCCGGUAAGUCCGCUGUGAAAGUCGGGGGCUCAACCCUCGAAUGCCGGUGGAUACUGUCGGGCUAGAGUGCGGAAGAGGCGAGUGGAAUUCCUGGUGUAGCGGUGAAAUGCGCAGAUAUCAGGAGGAACACCUAUUGCGAAGGCAGCUCGCUGGGACGUAACUGACGCUGAGACGCGAAAGCGUGGGGAUCAAACAGG